AGUCUUAUAGUCAAGAAAAAUGAUAUAAAAUUGCAAAUUUUAAGGGGUAAAUAUACUAAGGCUU
rnacentral:tRNA from 1 species